GACGAACGCUGGCGGCGUGCUUAACACAUGCAAGUCGAGCGGUAAGGCUCCUUCGGGAGUACACGAGCGGCGAACGGGUGAGUAACACGUGAGUAACCUGUCCUUCUCAUCGGAAUAAGCGUUGGAAACGACGUCUAAUGCCGAAUACGACUUCGGAAGGCAUCUUCUGAAGUGGAAAGCUCCGGCGGAGAAGGAUGGACUCGCGGCCUAUCAGCUAGUUGGUGAGGUAACGGCUCACCAAGGCGACGACGGGUAGCCGGCCUGAGAGGGUGACCGGCCACGCUGGGACUGAGACACGGCCCAGACUACUACGGGAGGCAGGAGUGGGGAAUAUUGGACAAUGGGCGCAAGCCUGAUCCAGCAACGCCGCGUGAGGGAUGACGGCCUUCGGGUUGUAAACCUCUUUCAGCAGGGACGAAGCGCAAGUGACGGUACCUGCAGAAGAAGGACCGGCCAACUACGUGCCAGCCGCCGCAGUAACAC
rnacentral:rRNA from 1 species